rnacentral:rRNA from 1 species
AACGAACGCUGGCGGCAGGCUUAACACAUGCAAGUCGAACGCCCCGCAAGGGGAGUGGCAGACGGGUGAGUAACGCGUGGGAAUCUACCGUACCCUACGGAACAACAGUUGGAAACGACUGUUAAUACCGUAUACGCCCUACGGGGGAAAGAUUUAUCGGGGUAUGAUGAGCCCGCGUUGGAUUAGCUAGUUGGUGGGGUAAAGGCCUACCAAGGCGACGAUCCAUAGCAGGUCUGAGAGGAUGAUCAGCCACAUUGGGACUGAGACACGGCCCAAACUCCUACGGGAGGCAGCAGUGGGGAAUAUUGGACGAUGGGCGCAAGCCUGAUCCAGCCAUGCCGCGUGAGUGAUGAAGGUCUUAGGAUUGUAAAGCUCUUUCACCGGAGAAGAUAAUGACGGUAUCCGGAGAAGAAGCCCCGGCUAACUUCGUGCCAGCCGCCGCAGUAA